GCUAACGACGUGCGUGCAGCCGCGUGAUGAGUUAGGGACCAGGGGUGGGUCUGAGUUACGGGUGGUAGAGGGCGCGGGUGCGGGGAUUCAAGGCAGCUGUGAAAUCGCCGGGCUUAACUCGGAACGGUCAGCUGAUACUGCUUUGCUAGAGUGCAUAAGGGGCAAUCGGAAUUCUUGGUGUAGCGGUGAAAUGCGUAGAUAUCAAGAGGAACGCCUGAGGUGAAGACGGGUUGCUGGGCUGGCACUGACGCUGAGGCGCGAAAGCUAGGGUAGCAAACGGGAUUAGAUACCCGGGUAGUC
rnacentral:rRNA from 1 species